GGUAACAUAUUCUAGCUUGCUAGAAGAUGACGAGUGGCGGACGGGUGAGUAAUGCUUGGGAACUUGCCUUUGCGAGGGGGAUAACAGUUGGAAACGACUGCUAAUACCGCAUAAUGUCUUCGGACCAAACGGGGCUUCGGCUCCGGCGCAAAGAGAGGCCCAAGUGAGAUUAGCUAGUUGGUAAGGUAACGGCUUACCAAGGCGACGAUCUCUAGCUGUUCUGAGAGGAAGAUCAGCCACACUGGGACUGAGACACGGCCCAGACUCCUACGGGAGGCAGCAGUGGGGAAUAUUGCACAAUGGGGGAAACCCUGAUGCAGCCAUGCCGCGUGUGUGAAGAAGGCCUUCGGGUUGUAAAGCACUUUCAGUUGUGAGGAAAAGUUAGUAGUUAAUACCUGCUAGCCGUGACGUUAACAACAGAAGAAGCACCGGCUAACUCCGUGCCAGCAGCCGCGGUAAUACGGAGGGUGCGAGCGUUAAUCGGAAUUACUGGGCGUAAAGCGCACGCAGGCGGUUUGUUAAGCUAGAUGUGAAAGCCCCGGGCUCAACCUGGGAUGGUCAUUUAGAACUGGCAGACUAGAGUCUUGGAGAGGGGAGUGGAAUUCCAGGUGUAGCGGUGAAAUGCGUAGAUAUCUGGAGGAAC
rnacentral:rRNA from 1 species